AUACGUAGGGUGCGAGCGUUGUCCGGAAUUACUGGGCGUAAAGAGCUCGUAGGUGGUUUGUCGCGUCGUCUGUGAAAUUCCGGGGCUUAACUCCGGGCGUGCAGGCGAUACGGGCAUAACUUGAGUACUGUAGGGGAGACUGGAAUUCCUGGUGUAGCGGUGAAAUGCGCAGAUAUCAGGAGGAACACCGGUGGCGAAGGCGGGUCUAUGGGCAGUAACUGACGCUGAGGAGCGAAAGCAUGGGUAGCGACCAGGAUUAGAUCCCCGGGUAGUCCAUGCCGUAACCGGUGGGCGCUAGGUGUAGGGGUCUUCCACGACUUCUGUGCCGUAGCUAACGCAUUAAGCGCCCCGCCUGGGGAGUACGGCCGCAAGGCUAAAACUCAAAGGAAUUGACGGGG
rnacentral:rRNA from 1 species